rnacentral:siRNA from 1 species
GAUUCGGCUUGAGGGGGGUGUA